rnacentral:lncRNA from 1 species
GUUCAAUCCCUUACAGAGGGAGAAUGAGUUGGAAAUAUCUUUCCCUUGGCAGAAAGCUAAAUCAAUGAAUAGCAGAUGGUAUGAGUGUACAGUAUGUAUCCAUUCCUGGCAAUUGAAGUUCAGCAGAGUUCAUUGGUACAGUGCAUGACAAAGUGGAUCAUUGAAUUAUGAGCUUUGCAGAGAAUAUUCAACGGCAAUAUUAUACCGUAAAGAGAGGAUAGAGGGGAAUCUGUGAAUUGUAACCAUCCUAAGUGCUGUCUUCAUUAUUAAACUCACCUUCUGCACCUGCUUCCUGGGCUCCCGGCGCAUACGUGUCAGAAUACUGCCUCACAAAUUUUGGAAGCAGCAGAAGAUAAAGACAUCUCCCAGACGGUCGGUGAACAGGGACAGCUACUCCGUCAACAGUUGGCUCAACUGGGUGCGGCUAUGGAUGAGGUCCUCUGCGUCCUCCACUGCCUCGACACCACCCGAGAGGAUUCACCUACAACUAGCGGAGGGCCUUGUACCUCGAGUCGUCCCGGUGAGCCAGCCCCCCAGCCUACCCAGCAGUCUGCUCAGGGAGGUGAUGCCCGACUGUCCCUCCUGGACACGUAGGAUGGGACUCCAUCCAAAUGCCUUGGCUUCCUACUCCAGUGCUCCCUCUAUUUCGCCCAUCAGACAGGAGCCCCACCACCGAGAGGUCCAAGGUUGCCACGGUCACUUCCCUACUGACCGGGCGGGCGUUGGAGUGGGCUACAGCUGUCUAGGGGAGAGGAAGAGUUCCCACGAGAGGUUCAUGGCUCUGUUUCCGGCGGUCUUCAACCAUCCAGCAGAGGGAGGUGAGUGACUAUUCCAACUCCGGCAGGGUGCACAGACAGCUGAGGAGUACCUCACCUUCCGGACCAUGGCAGCCUCCAUCGGAUGGAACGAACCGGCGCUCUGAA